UACGUAGGGUGCGAGCGUUAAUCGGAAUUACUGGGCGUAAAGCGUGCGCAGGCGGUGAUGUAAGACCGAUGUGAAAUCCCCGGGCUUAACCUGGGAACUGCAUUGGUGACUGCAUUGCUGGAGUAUGGCAGAGGGGGGUGGAAUUCCACGUGUAGCAGUGAAAUGCGUAGAGAUGUGGAGGAACACCGAUGGCGAAGGCAGCCCCCUGGGCCAAUACUGACGCUCAUGCACGAAGCGUGGGAGCGAAACAAGGAU
rnacentral:rRNA from 1 species